rnacentral:rRNA from 1 species
ACGAACGCUGGCGGCGUGCCUCAUACAUGCCAGUCGAACGCUUCUUUCCUCCCGAGUGCUUGCACUCAAUUGGAAAGAGGAGUGGCGGACGGGUGAGUAACACGUGGGUAACCUACCCAUCAGAGGGGGAUAACACUUGGAAACAGGUGCUAAUACCGCAUAACAGUUUAUGCCGCAUGGCAUAAGAGUGAAAGGCGCUUUCGGGUGUCGCUGAUGGAUGGACCCGCGGUGCAUUAGCUAGUUGGUGAGGUAACGGCUCACCAAGGCCACGAUGCAUAGCCGACCUGAGAGGGUGAUCGGCCACACUGGGACUGAGACACGGCCCAGACUCCUACGGGAGGCAGCAGUAGGGAAUCUUCGGCAAUGGACGAAAGUCUGACCGAGCAACGCCGCGUGAGUGAAGAAGGUUUUCGGAUCGUAAAACUCUGUUGUUAGAGAAGAACAAGGACGUUAGUAACUGAACGUCCCCUGACGGUAUCUAACCAGAAAGCCACGGCUAACUACGUG